AGAUUGAACGCUGGCGGCUUGCCUAACACAUGCAAGUCGAACGGGAGUAGCAAUACUCUAGUGGCGGACGGGUGAGGAAUACGUAGGAAUUUGCCCUUAAGUGGGGGAUAACCCGGGGAAACCCGGAUUAAUACCGCAUGACCUCGAAAGAGCAAAGUGGGGGAUCGCAAGACCUCACGCUUUUGGAGAAGCCUACGUCGGAUUAGCUAGUUGGUGAGGUAAUGGCUCACCAAGGCGACGAUCCGUAACUGGUCUGAGAGGAUGAUCAGUCACACCGGAACUGAGACACGGUCCGGACUCCUACGGGAGGCAGCAGUGGGGAAUAUUGGACAAUGGGCGCAAGCCUGACUCCAGCAAUGCCGCGUGUGUGAAGAAGGCC
rnacentral:rRNA from 1 species